AUUAUGACUCCUUUCAUCUGUAAAUUUGACAAAAGAAUAUUAGUUGAGUAGUAUAAAUAAUAUAAUUGUAUAAGUAUAACAUGAUAAUCACGUGGCGAAUCUAACAUCCAUUAUACACUAUAUAGGCUAAUAUUUCAAGAAAUUGGAACUUUUGGCUUAUCUAUUAAACACAUGUAGUAACAAAAGACGGAUUAAAAUUGACUAAAUAAUAAGUGAAAUAAUACACUUUUUAAAUGGGUUAUGCACUUUUAUAGAGUAAAGAAUGUAAACAGAUUAUACAAAAUUGUAACUACCGUGGAAGAAGAAGCAAAGAUGAAAUGGAAAAUGCUUUUGAAGGAGUAAUAAUUUAUUGUCUCACUAAUUAUAGGUAGAUGAACAAUUCCCUAUCUUCAACCACUUAAUGUAAUAAUAUAGAGCAAUUGUUUUGUGGAAGAUAAGUUAUUUUAUUAGGGACAAAAUCGUAACUUAGAUAUUAAAGGAUAUCGUCGUAAUUCAACUUAGAAGGUAUGAGCUUCCUACUUUUAGUAUAAUAUGAUAUGACACUGGGCCGGGUGAAGCCCGGGCUAUCCCUUCACUAGUGCUAAGAUAAAGGCAGUAAUAAAGACGACUAACUAUGCAGAAAAGAAAAACAAUAGAAACUCAGAGUUUUUAUACUGGUUCGUGUACCGGUGUGGUACCUACAUCCAGUUUCCUUGGAUCAAAAUGGUUGUCUUAUAUUUUCAACACGUGACCAGUUAUAGUAGCCAUGAUUUUCUUUCGUUCACCACUAAUGAACUUCAGUUUGAAUGUUUCUCAAUACUUAAAUACACUGUUUGUGCUAAGAACUAAAAAGAUGUAGAAACUUAUAUAUUGAGGUUGCAUGAGCUCUUUCGUCUGUUCUUCCUUUCUUCAUAUAGACAGGUCUUGAGUUAUUCUUGUCAUCAGAAUCAUUGCAGAUUUCGAGCAGACUGUCCAUUCAUUGAAGCAAAGAAUUCUGAAAGUCUUCCGUGUGUAGUUGAUUGAUUUUUCUCUCCAAGAACUUCCCACCUUGCUUUUGUAGAAUCACUUAUUUAUCUUGCUUUCUAUAAAAGUCCAUUAUCAACCGGGGGCAGGGGGGAGGG
rnacentral:lncRNA from 1 species